CCUACGGGGUGCAGCAGUCGAGAAUCAUUCACAAUGGGGGAAACCCUGAUGCUGCGACGCCGCGUGGGGGAAUGAAGGUCUUCGGAUUGUAAACCCCUGUCAUGUGGGAGCAAAUUAAAAAGAUAGUACCACAAGAGGAAGAGACGGCCAACUCGGUGCCAGCAGCCGCGGUAAUACAGAGGUCUCAAGCGUGGUUCGGAAUCACUGGGCGUAAAGCGUGCGUAGGCUGUUUCGUAAGUCGUGUGUGAAAGGCGCGGGCUCAACCCGCGGACGGCACAUGAUACUGCGAGACUAGAGUGAUGGAGAGGGAACCGGAAUUCUCGGUGUAGCAGUGAAAUGCGUAGAUAUCGGGAGGAACACUCGUGGCGAAGGCGGGUUCCUGGACAUUAACUGACGCUGAGGCACGAAGGCCAGGGGAGCGAAAGGGAUUAGAUACCCGGGUAGUC
rnacentral:rRNA from 1 species